rnacentral:rRNA from 1 species
GAUGAACGCUGGCGGCGUGCCUAAUACAUGCAAGUCGAGCGAACGGACGAGAAGCUUGCUUUUCUGAUGUUAGCGGCGGACGGGUGAGUAACACGUGGAUAACCUACCUAUAAGACUGGGAUAACUUCGGGAACCCGGAGCUAAUACCGGAUAAUAUUUUGAACCGCAUGGUUCAAAAGUGAAAGCCGGCCUUGCUGUCCCUAAUAGAGGGUUCCGCGCUGCAUUAGCUAGUUGGUAAGGUAACGGCUUACCAAGGCAACGAUGCAUAGCCGACCUGAGAGGGUGAUCGGCCACACUGGAACUGAGACACGGUCCAGACUCCUACGGGAGGCAGCAGUAGGGAAUCUUCCGCAAUGGGCGAAAGCCUGACGGAGCAACGCCGCGUGAGUGAUGAAGGUCUUCGGAUCGUAAAACUCUGUUAUUAGGGAAGAACAUAUGUGUAAGUAACUGUGCACAUCUUGACGGUACCUAAUCAGAAAGCCACGGCUAACUACGUG